rnacentral:tRNA from 1 species
GUUUGUUUAGCUUAGUCGGUAGAGCACAAGGCUUUUAACCUUAAGGUUGUGGGUUCAAGCCCCACCGUAGGCG